rnacentral:lncRNA from 1 species
CUAUAGGUAAAUAGGUGUGCUUUAACGUUAGAAAAAAAAGAAGUUGUUUUAGGAGUUAGUAUUAUGUUGUUUAUAUUAAAAAUUGAAAAAGAAAUUUUGAAAAAAUAGUUUAUAUUCUUAAAUAGUACCAAGUGUAGUUAGCCUCUUGAAAAAAGAAAUUUUGAAUCUUCAAAAUUUGUUUAAAACUUUCAAAGGUCAUAUUAAUUGUA